UGUUAAAAUUUUUAUCCAUUGUUAUUGUUAAAAAUUGGCGUGGCUAAUAGAAUAACCAGAUAGUUACACCUGGCGUGCCACGUGUACAUCAUUCUAAUGUACAUAGACCAAUUUUUAAUAACAAAAAUGGAUGGAAUUUUUAACA
rfam:Gossypium hirsutum cultivar TM-1 scaffold7872.1_1, whole genome shotgun sequence